CAGCCGUAAACAAUGUGCGUUAGGUGUGUCGGUAACCACGUGUUACUGAUGCGCCGAAGAGAAAUCGUGAAACGCACCACCUGGGAAGUACGGUCGCAAGGCUGAAACUUAAAGGAAUUCGGCGGGGGAGCACCACAACAGGUGGAGCCUGCGGUUUAAUUGGAUUCAACGCCGGACAUCUCACCGGAUAAGACAGCUGAAUGAUUGUCAAUCUGAAGGUUUUACAUGACUAGCUGAGAGGUGGUGCAUGGCGUCAGUGACU
rnacentral:rRNA from 1 species